rnacentral:rRNA from 1 species
AUAAACGCUAGCGGCAGGCCUAACACAUGCAAGUCGAGGGGCAUCGGAUAGAGUACUUCGGUACUCUUGCCGGCGACCGGCGGACGGGUGCGUAACGCGUAUGCAACCUACCUUCAACAGGGGGAUAAUCCGAAGAAAUUUGGUCUAAUACCCCAUAAUAUUCCGACAGGCAUCUGUCGGAGUUGAAAGCUUCGGUGGUUGGAGAUGGGCAUGCGUUGUAUUAGCUAGAUGGUGAGGUAACGGCUCACCAUGGCGAUGAUACAUAGGGGGACUGAGAGGUUUUCCCCCCACACUGGUACUGAGACACGGACCAGACUCCUACGGGAGGCAGCAGUGAGGAAUAUUGGUCAAUGGACGGAAGUCUGAACCAGCCAUGCCGCGUGCAGGAUGAAUGUGCUAUGCAUUGUAAACUGCUUUUGUACGAGGGUAAACCCAGAUACGCGUAUCUGCUUGAAAGUAUCGUACGAAUAAGGAUCGGCUAACUCCGUGCCAGCAGCCGCGGUAAUACGGAGGAUCCGAGCGUUAUCCGGAUUUAUUGGGUUUAAAGGGUGCGUAGGCUGUUUUUUAAGUUAGAGGUGAAAGCUCGACGCUCAACGUCGAAAUUGCCUCUGAUACUGAGAGACUAGAGUGUAGUUGCGGAAGGCGGAAUGUGUGGUGUAGCGGUGAAAUGCUUAGAUAUCACACAGAACACCGAUUGCGAAGGCAGCUUUCCAAGCUAUUACUGACGCUGAGGCACGAAAGCGUGGGGAGCGAACAGGAUUAGAUACCCUGGUAGUCCACGCAGUAAACGAUGAUAACUCGUUGCCGGCGAUACACAGUCGGUGACUUAGCGAAAGCGUUAAGUUAUCCUUCUGGGGAGUACGUUCGCAAGAAUGAAACUCAAAGGAAUUGACGGGGGCCCGCACAAGCGGUGGAGCAUGUGGUUUAAUUCGAAGCAACGCGAAGAACCUUACCAGGUCUUGACAUCCGAUGCAUAGCACAGAGAUGUGUGAAAUCCUUCGGGACAUCGAGACAGGUGGUGCAUGGUUGUCGUCAGCUCGUGCCGUGAGGUGUCGGGUUAAGUCCCAUAACGAGCGCAACCCCUACCGUUAGUUGCCAUCAGGUCAAGCUGGGCACUCUAGCGGGACUGCCGGUGUAAGCCGAGAGGAAGGUGGGGAUGACGUCAAAUCAGCACGGCCCUUACGUCCGGGGCGACACACGUGUUACAAUGGCCGGUACAGAGGGUAGCUACCUGGUGACAGGAUGCCAAUCUCGAAAGCCGGUCUCAGUUCGGAUUGGAGGCUGAAACUCGCCUCCAUGAAGUUGGAUUCGCUAGUAAUCGCGCAUCAGCCAUGGCGCGGUGAAUACGUUCCCGGGCCUUGUACACACCGCCCGUCAAGCCAUGGGAGUUGGGGGUGCCUGAAGUACGUGACCGCAAGGAGCGUCCUAGGGCAAAACCGAUGACUGGGGCU